UUAAAAUUGUGUGGUCGUCUCCUUACAACUGAGUUAAAUCACCCUGCGUACAUUAAACUAAUUUAGAAUAUAUCUUUGUCAUGAAAAUACUCUUAUAUUUAGUGGUGGACCUGUGCAGGCGCAAGAAGGUGCACCUACACCUCCGGUCGUCGGAAAACUCCAUAAAAGCUGCUAAAGUUGCACCUCUGCUCAUGCAAGGAAGCUGUUCGAUGAAAUGCGUAAGUGAAUUGCGCUGCUCUGGAAUGAAAUGAUGGAGGAUGGGGUGGAUCACAACGCAUUUACUUACUCAUCCGCUUUGAAAGCAUGCGCCCAGAUGGAAACCGUUCUACACUGGAAAUUGAUUCACUCCUCUGCAAAUAAAAGUCUUGCCAUGUCUAAUGUUUGUGACAGCAUGCCAAAACGGAAUUUGGUUUCUUUGAAGGCUAUGAUAGUGGGUUAUGCAAAGAAUGGUCUCUGCUAGGAGGCUAUGAAGCUCAUGUAUCUGAUGCGAACAGAGGGUUUUGAGGUGGAUGAUUACAUCAUUGCCAUUGUUCUUACUGCAUGUGGAGACCUCCUUCUUUUUGUUUUUGUUUUUAAAAAAAAAGAUAAAAAAAAAAAAAGGGAACUGCUGGGCCAUUCGUGUGCUUCUAAAAGGCUUUUGUAAUCCUUACCUAAUUAGGUUUUAAUUAGAACUUCUCUUUAUUCAAUUUGAGAAUUCCUUAUUUAAAUGGGAUAUUUAAUAUCACCCAUGCGUUUUUUUUUUUUCCUUCUUGAGUUCCUUUUUUUUUGUUUUUUUGUUUUUGAGCUUUUAGCUCUUAAGAAUUGCAACUCCG
rnacentral:lncRNA from 1 species